rnacentral:rRNA from 1 species
UACGUAGGUGGCAAGCGUUGUCCGGAUUUACUGGGCGUAAAGGGUGCGUAGGCGGACAUUUAAGUCAGCUGUGAAAUACCCGAGCUUAACUUGGGUGCUGCAUUCGAAACUGGGUGUCUAGAGUGCAGGAGAGGUAAGUGGAAUUCCUAGUGUAGCGGUGAAAUGCGUAGAGAUUAGGAAGAACACCAGUGGCGAAGGCGACUUACUAGACUGUAACUGACGCUGAGGCAUGAAAGCGUGGGGAGCAAACAGG